GGAAGGCGGAGUGGGGAUAGAGACACUGAAAUGACACAACUUCAUCUGAUUUGAUCUUAUUAGGAAAGUGGACUAAUUUAGCAAAUAUUUUUUCCUCAACCUGACGUUUUAACACGGCUGAUGUGUCAACUGAGGAGAAUGCAGUAGCUGAAGCAGAGAGUGACGCUUUUCAUCAUUAAGGUGGCGUUGUGUGUACAUUCAGAAGAGGAUGACUUUGAUGAUAUAACAAAACAAAAAGCAGCAGAAUUCCAUCACAGUGAGUUAGCAUGAUAGGGCUAUUCCAGUAGUUUUUUUGUUUUUAAUGGACAUACAACAGACUGUAGCACAAAUGACCAACAGUGUGAGAUGUUUGUUUGCUACAAGACUUGAAAUGGGGUAACCUUUAAUUUCACCGUGUCCCAAAAAACAGACUCUCAAACAUGCAGUACAUACAUUUAUAAGUGCAUGUGUACCACUGGUGUGAGGAUUCAAUGGUUGUUAGAAGACACUGUGCCCCUGCUGUGGAAGGACUGGUUUUAGCUUCACAAGAGCCCUAAAAGUCAUCAUGAUAGCCCAAAUGUCAGUCAAAUGAGCAAGCUAUUCUUGUGCAGAA